rnacentral:rRNA from 1 species
UACGUAGGGGCCUAGCGUUGUCCGGAAUUAUUGGGCGUAAAGAGCUCGUAGGCGGUUCGGCAAGUCGGAUGUGAAAUCUCCACGCUUAACGUGGAGGGGCCAUUCGAAACUGCCGUGACUCGAGUCCGGUAGGGGAGUGUGGAAUUCCCGGUGUGGCGGUGAAAUGCGCAGAUAUCGGGAGGAACACCAGUAGCGAAGGCGGCACUCUGGGCCGGUACUGACGCUGAGGAGCGAAAGCGUGGGGAGCGAACAGG